CCCUUAGAUGUUCUGGGCGGCCCGCGCACUACAUUGGCACUCUCGAUAAGUUCCUAGAUCUAAAACUUUGGGGUAUUCUAUUAAGUGGUGUCGUGACUGGGAUUAACCCUUGCAAUUAUUGGUUACGAACGAGGAAUUCCUUGUAAUCGCGGUUUAUCAGCCCGCGUUGAAUGCGUCCCUGCCCUUUGUACACACCGCCCGUCGCUCCUACCGAUGAAUCGUCCGGUGAAGUUCAUGGAGUGGUGGUUGUUCCAGCUGCUGUCGAAGUGAAAUGGACCUCACGAUUUAGAGGAAGGAGAAGUCGUAACA
rnacentral:rRNA from 1 species